CCUACGGGAGGCAGCAGUAGGGAAUAUUGCUCAAUGGAGGAAACCCUGAAGCAGCAACGCAGCGUGGAGGAUGAAGGUUUUAGGAGUGGAAAACCCUUUUGAUAGAGAAGAGAAAGAAGGUAGCUAACGAAUAAGCAACGGCUAACUCCGUGCCAGUAGCCGCGGUAAUACGGAGGGUGCAAGCGUUACUCGGAAUAACUGGGCGUAAAGAGCGCGUAGGGGGGAUAGCAAGUCAGAUGUGAAAUCCUAUGGCUUAACCAUAGAACUGCAUUUGAAACUGUUAUUCUAGAGUAUGGGAGAGGUAGGUGGAAUUCUUUGUGUAGCGGUCAAAUCCGUAGAUAUCACGAGGAAUACUCAUUGCGAAGGCGACCUGCUAGACCAUAACUGACGCUGAUGCGCGAAAGCGUGGGGAUCAAACAGGAUUAGAUACCCCGGUAGUC
rnacentral:rRNA from 1 species